GUGCUUAACACAUGCAAGUCGAACGGAAAGGCCCCUUCGGGGGUACUCGAGUGGCGAACGGGUGAGUAACACGUGGGUAAUCUGCCCUGCACUUCGGGAUAAGCCUGGGAAACUGGGUCUAAUACCGGAUAGGACCACUUGGCGCAUGCCUUGUGGUGGAAAGCUUUUGCGGUGUGGGAUGGGCCCGCGGCCUAUCAGCUUGUUGGUGGGGUGACGGCCUACCAAGGCGACGACGGGUAGCCGGCCUGAGAGGGUGUCCGGCCACACUGGGACUGAGAUACGGCCCAGACUCCUACGGGAGGCAGCAGUGGGGAAUAUUGCACAAUGGGCGCAAGCCUGAUGCAGCGACGCCGCGUGGGGGAUGACGGCCUUCGGGUUGUAAACCUCUUUCAGCAGGGACGAAGCGCAAGUGACGGUACCUGCAGAAGAAGCACCGGCCAACUACGUGCCAGCAGCCGCGGUAAUACGUAGGGUGCGAGCGUUGUCCGGAAUUACUGGGCGUAAAGAGCUCGUAGGUGGUUUGUCGCGUUGUUCGUGAAAUC
rnacentral:rRNA from 1 species